UGUAAACGGAGUGUAAGAAAAAAUGGCUGACGCGGAAGAGCUCAUCGAAGAACUCGAUGUGGAAAAAAAUAUCCGUGGAGGAAGUCGAGCUGAUAGAAUUGCUCAACAGUUUUAGAAUUACUGAAGCUAUUAUUGAAGCCCUUCUUGGUAAGUUUUAACCAUUCUUUUAUAGAAUUUCAAUUCUCAUCAGCCUUUUUUCGUGAUUGCAGUUAAUUCUUACACGAUUGAAACGCUAAAAGUGAUUCAGCGGCAAGAAAUCGAGCUGCUGAUUCUACCCCCGUCGCUUGCGGAGUGGACCAAAUUCAUUCAUACAUUGGAUAUUUGGAGAACAGCGCAGGGGCUACCAAAAGUCCAAAAAAUUCCAGCAAGUGGCAGCAGCUCUGCUUCGGUGCAAAAUACCAUUGUAAAGCCUUCUGAACCAAGGAUCACGUGGGAUUCAUGCACGGCCACCUAUUUGCUGAAAAACUCGUCGGAGGCACAAGCCAUCAUACGAAAAUACAGCCAAACACCGUUUCUCUCAAGAUC